rnacentral:rRNA from 1 species
AAAUAGGAAGAGUUCUCAGCCCCGUCUAUGGUGCGCCAAGGAUACAGUGCUCCCUUCUGAGACAUCACUGCUGCCCGUUCCCGUGCCUUAUCUAACGUAGCAUAACGAAACUCGAGUAGCUUCCGGCUAAUCUCCGGCUGUGUAAAUGUAAAGAAGGGUAUCAUAUACAUCUCGGUAUCCCAGAAAUAGUGACCUUCGUAUCCUUCACCCGUCAGACCCUUGGCCCCGAUGUUCGUAACCCCGUCACGUCCUACGGAUGCAGCAAUUGAAAAGCAUUAAAACGGAUACCAUGUUGAAGCGCAAGAUCGCCCUGAAUCUCCACAUCGGUAUGUGCCCAGAAAUGAUCCAGAAAAGCCCGUUGUUCAUGAACUAGCGCUUCAAACCCACAGUUCUCCGCCGAGUGUUGCACUUCUAAGCACCUGCUUAACAGCUCGUCCUCUGCAUAAUCCUUAGAAGUGUGAUACGAAAUGUACUUGGUCAGGGAGAUCCUUUCCCCCAUCACCACUGGUACAACCCAUUGCAUGGAUAAUCGCUGAGCUUCUAGCUGCACGAGCCUUUCAUAACCAGCGCUACAAUUCAGACUGUGGCUUAUCCCUGUUAAAAGAGCAAACCCGGUAUGCCGCGUCCUCUGCUUCAUCCACAAAAAGGACUGCUCGAGCUCAUGCCCGGUUUCGACUAGCAGCAAAUUGGGUUCCUUACUCCCUGAUCCCAGCCGGGGGUCAUCCGUGACCUCCGGCCUUUGGAUCUCACCAUCGAUCGAUGAAGUAAACGUUAGGGUUCCCUCAAAAUUCAAUGCCUUGACCUGCGUAAUCUAUGGCCGCUAAAUGUUUAUGCUGCAUGGCCACCAUCCGACGAAUGUUCAGCUGUACCCUGUG